UACGUAGGGUGCAAGCGUUGUCCGGAAUUAUUGGGCGUAAAGGGCUCGUAGGCGGUCCAUCGCGUCGGGAGUGAAAAGCUGGGGCUUAACCCCAGUCCUGCUUCCGAUACGGGUGGACUAGAGGUAGGUAGGGGAGAUCGGAAUUCCUGGUGUAGCGGUGAAAUGCGCAGAUAUCAGGAGGAACACCAAUAGCGAAGGCAGCUCGCUGGGACGUUACUGACGCUGAGACGCGAAAGCGUGGGGAGCAAACAGG
rnacentral:rRNA from 1 species